UCCCGCGCGGCGCGGAAGAGGGGAGGGGAUCCCCCAGCUCACGGGUCAUGCGAGGGUGCGGGGCAGGGGCGGCCGCCCCGGGCAUCUGCGGUCUCUGAAGCCGAGGCCUCCCCGCUCGGUCCCACCCCUCGCAACAAGGCCCACCGCCGGCCUCCGCCUGGCUCCUGGGCUAGGUCCGCUGCUCGCGGGGUCCGCUCUCGGGAGGAAAAGUUCCACACGGAGGAUGCGGCGCUGGUUUCAGCCUGCAGCGUCCGAGGCUCCUCCUCCCGCGCUGCCGAGGGAGGCGGGCUGCGCUCUUUUCCGGGCCCUGCCACACAAUGUUGCCUUCAGGGAGGGAGACCUUCGCAGCCUUUCUGCAUUCCCUCCCUCCGCCCGGGGGUGUGGGGCCGGAAGCUGCGGCGUCUCGGGUCGGGGUUUGCUCCCGCCGAGCCUUGAGCCGUUGGUGCGCAUGCUCUGUGGAGGCCCGCACAGGCCCUGAGUGAACUCUGAUAGAGCCUUCGCAAGGCGAGCCCCAGAUUCGCAAUGAAGAGCCCCACGCCACAUGAAAUGUGAGCAAGUCCACCCACCUCAUCUACCCUGGCGGCCAGUUCCUCGUUGGACCAGAUCCCUUCUAUCAUAAGCUCCUCCUCAGCACAUGGUUAUUACUGGAAUGCUGGUGGUUUGGGCAACUCUUUUUCUGGUGAGAUGGUGCAGUGGGAAGGUACAUCCCACUUCCAGCGGGUUGUCCCUCGGUGCUGGCUUGGCUUCUUGGGAAAAGAGUGAAGAAUCAGAGCCUACACGCUGCUGCUGAGCUCCACAGCCUCCAUCUUGCCUCCUCCUGUUUAGACGAUGCGGGUCCUAGUUCUGGGAAGCCCUUCCACCGGAUCGCAGAGCCUCUCUGAACUUCAGGCUCCUCAUCUAUAAAAUGGACCUCCCAAGGUGGUGGUUUAGUGCUGUCAGGGACAUGUUGGCAGGNGGACCGUGUGAGCUGUUGUGUCCACAGUAGCCUGGAAAGGGUGAGGGCAAAGGGCUGGGGGACCGGUCAGAAGGCACCUACCACAAUCCAGGUAGGAGGUGACAGUGCUGCAGCCAGGCUGCACGGCGAAGGAUGGGAGGGGCCCCCGGAGAAACCUGAAUCAGGUACCACAGUAACGGGGAACGUGGAGGAGGGCGUGAUUCACUCCAAGGCCGCUUUCCCAGGGGAUGUGACUCAGGCAGGAUUUUGAAAAAUGAGCAGUUCAGCAGGCACUCAAGAGGGUGAGAACAUUCCAACACCGGUGUGCCGGGGCCCCAUUGAGAGGGAGCCAGGCCUGUUUGGGGACCUAUGAAGCAGCAUCACAUCAGAGCAGAAGGGUCAGGGGAGGCCAGAUGGGGAAGGAGCUCGCCGCUCUGCCAAGGGUGUUGUCCUCUGGGCGCCAGGGAGUUCAGGAAGAAUUUUAAGCCUGGGGGCCGGUGGUGCUUAAGACCUAAAACUUGCUAUUAAGAAAAGUCCCGUGGUCACCAUGAACGGCCUGGGGGGAGGUGGCAGGGAAAACCCAGAGGGGAAGCAGAAAAUGAGGGCUGACCCCGGGGCAGUGGGAGAGAGGGAAGGAGGCAUGAGAACCGUUUAGGGAGAAGAGAGGACCAGGGCCGUGUGGGUUUGGGGAAAGAGGAGCAGGCUGUUUUGAGGAAGAGAAUGAGUCAUGUGGGGGCCGGCUGAAUUGGAGGAUCCACUGGGGGAUCAGACAGCCAAGCCCCAGAGCAGCCGAUGUUGGAGUCUGGAGCUCAGCGGAGGGGACUUGGGUCCAGAAGCCUCAAGGGACAGGUGGCAUUUAAGCUGUGGAAGGCCACCAGCUAAAAGGCAUCUCCAGAUUUUUACCUUUAGUAAGAUCUGAAUAGAGGUAUAUUUCCCUCCUCUUUGCCUCUUUCCCAAGGCCUUUGAGAGAUACAGUGAGAAAAACAUUCUUGAGGGUAAAGAGGAGGGAUCCAGGAGGGGAUCCUCCUAGGGCAGCACGGAGGAAUCCCUGGGCUGGUCCCACUUCACCCCACGGUGUCUGCGGGCAGAGGGGCCUGGAUAGGCAGGGCUCUUGGUAUCCAUUGUCCGUGGGUCUCUGCAUGCAGAUAUGUAAAGUUAUGUGUUUUCAUCUCCCCGUGAUUCCUGUUUUCCUGCAGCCCUUCCCGCUGAGGCGUAUUGCCCAAUGAAGUUGGAGGGGUGAAUUCGAAGCAAGACCUCAAGCAGGGGGUGAAGCGGACAUGAUGUAGAGAAGCUGCUGCUGAUGGCAAUGGGACCAGAAAAGGGGGGCCUAAGGGAGAACAUGAGAAGCAAAAAGGGCAGCCCCUUAACCUUCAACCUCAGAGGCUCGUGAGGGAGAAACCCAGUCAGGUCUGAGGGGAGAUCUCACAGCAAGGGGGUGGGUGGGACUUGACUCAGAUUGCAGUGGGGAGAAAUUUUAAUGACACCCCCUCCCUAGCAAACCAGCGAUGCAAGAUGGUGCCAGCACAAUAUGGUGCCAGUCAGGAGGUGGUUUGGAAUGGCUGAGGAAGGGAGUCUGGGAAGUGGCUUCAUGCAACGCUGCUCGUUCUAGUGAGAAUGCAGCCAGGUAGUCCUAGGUCCCAGGGGCCGCAGAGCCAAGAUCUGCCUCACCAGCUAUGUGCAGGGACCAUGCACUUUGGCUUCACCUCUUCCUGCCCCUACCCCACCAGCAAGCCCCAGGGACCAGAACCAUCUCUGUCCUGCGUGUGUGUGUGUGUGUGUGUGUGUGUGUGUGUGUGUAAGAAUGCAGGGGACUCCACUCAGACCUUCAACCCUCUUGUCCCACCACCGUGAGGCCCAUGAACAUCUCUCUGCACCAGGAAAUUAUCUUGGCUGGGAGAAGGCGGAAGGGUGAGAAAACCUUGGAAUACUGAGCAAUUUUACUCAAAAGAGACUGAGUUAAUCAUACAGAAAUGGAGCUAUGUCUAAGGGGCAAUUUAAUGGUUUCUUUUUGUUUGUUUUCUUUUUGCCCGUCAGUAGUAGGAAUUAUCAGAUCACGAUGAGAAGAGUAUAAGAAAAAGUAAGAACAAUACUGAUUUGACCCAUCUGGGUAGGUGUGUGUGUGUGAUCUUUAGCCCUCCCACAAUUAUGUCUGUACACGUUUGCUGGGGCAACUGUAUAUUUUCAAUUCCAAUCGUCAGACCUUUCCUUGAAGCUCACGUGUGUUUUGAUCUGGCCAGGAAUUGAGAAUCAUAAAAUCAUUAAAUCUGUAUUAAUUACCUAUUGCUGCAUAGUAAGUUAAUCCAAAAUUUAGCUGAAAUAAAUAUGUAUUAUCUCA
rnacentral:lncRNA from 1 species